rnacentral:rRNA from 1 species
GGUUGCGAUCAUACCAGCACUAAUGCACCGGAUCCCAUUAGAACUCCGCAGCUAAGCGUGCUUGGGCGAGAGUAGUACUAGGAUGGGUGACCCCCUGGGAAGUCCUCGUGUUGCAACCC